AAUUAAUUUAUCGAUUCGUCAUAGAUUAUGACUUAAUGACAUGCAUACAAAUUAUGUUACUUUGGUAUAAAAAGCAGUAAGUGUCAACCCCUUUCACAGAUCAGGUCUUGAUUAAUACUUGGUUAAACCCUCUCAAGACAGCUAACCAUGCUUGCCAUAACUAUGAUUAUGGUCCUCCUUAUGACCAUGGUCCUCCUUAUGACACAAACAAUCCACGGACUGAGCCAUUUAUUACCUCCUCAUGGGCAUGGACAUACUUACCAUGGUUUCUCUAGAGGAAAUCGCGGUUUUCAUGAUGAUAAUUUCUUCGAGUUCGAUGAUGACCAUCGGUUUCGUCGUAGAUUUCCGUAACCUCCCCGCCGUCGUUUUUAUCAUGGGUAUUUUGAUGACUAAGGGUAUCGAUCCGGAUAUCCGUUCAGCAUUGGUUGUUGUUAGGAUCCUUUCAAUACUUAAUCGUGCGUUUUAUUAUUCUUGUUAAUGAUUAUUAUAAAUAAUAUUGUAUAUUUGUUAUUUGAAUAAAAUGUCGAGUUUUAAAAACUUCAA